rnacentral:lncRNA from 1 species
GAUGGGGCAAGGACAAGGGAGAGGGAGGAGUCAAGGACACCCUGAGCUUCCCAGCCUCAUGACAGGUGGAUGACUGCAUUCUCAUGCAAUAUCAGGAAAGAAGGAGGAAAGGCCGAAGCUGGUUUUGUAGGGGAGGGGAUGGGGGUGAGGUGGAGGUGGGGUGUGUGGGCAGGGUGGGGACGGGGAAGCUGCUGGGCUUGAUUGUACAGGAUGUGGAAUAGGGAUAGAGCCAGCCUCCCGGCAGGUCUCCCCUCUGCUCCAUCAAGUUGCACGUCCCCACCUCCCAGUCCUUGUGUCCCUCCUACCCCCCACCCCACUCCCACGUUCCUUUCCAGGGCAGGGGCCCUUUGGAGAAAUUCUUACCAGUCUGUACACUUACCUUUACUGGGCCUGAUGGGAGACACCCAGAAGAGGGGAGUGACUCGUCCACUGAGGUCAUCACUGAGACCCUUUUCAAAGUCAAAGCAACAGGUCAUUGGGUGGGGCACGACGGGCAGAAACCUGAAGCCAUGCACCGCUCUGAGGGAAGUGUUAGACGGCCCCCUUUGGAAGCUCAGUCACUCCUGGGCCAAACAGAUCUGCCAGAAAUGCUUGCUCGUCUGGAAUGUGGCCUGGGCCCUCGUUGGGGCAGUUUUGUAGGGAGGGCCCAGUGCAGGAACCGUGGCGUGAGGCCUGCAGAAAAACAGGAGACCCCUCUCAUCUCCCAGGGCUGGGAACUUUCAGAGCCUUUUCUCUACCUUUUAUCUCACAGAGUAGACCUUAAAGAAGGGAAUGCCAUGAAUCUCUCUCUUUUAUACAGAUGAAGAACUGAGAGUGAGAGAGGAGGUGACUUGCCUCAGGUCCUAUCAUAGCUGGACAGUGACAGUGGAGGAAGACUGGCCCCCGGGCAGCCCUUAGGACACCAGUGGGCAUUUGAAGCAUCUGGAACUGCUGCUUGCCACACCCCCUUCCCCAGAGCUGACCCAGGGGUUGGAUACAAUAUCUGAGCUCCCAUCUGUGGGGUCCUUCAGCUACUUGGGGCACCUGGCCCUGGAGGCAUUUCCUCUCUGACCACCAGCUGCCACCUGAUUGGCCCCAGCUUGUGGGUAGAAGGCCAGCCCUGGAAGGGCCUGUCAUGGGCAUCAGUCCUACCUCUUUUGUUGUUCAGAGGUGGAAACUGAGGCCCCGAGAUGGAAGUGACUUGUCCAAGGUCACAAAGCUUGCUAGGGACAGAGUGGAGACCAGAGCCCAGGGCUGCUGACGCCUAAGAGUCCCCUGUUCUUCCUGCCUCCGCUCCUCUCUCUGGCUCUUCGUGCUUGGCACUUAGGCUCUGAGGUGAGGUCUGGAGGAGCGGCUUGCUCCAUGGCAGGUCUUCCUCUGCUGCCCCAUGAGCACUGACUUCACUCAUGGCUCUUUCUGAAGAGAUGCCUGGUGGUGGCCACAGGGGGGCAGCAGUGGGAGGGACAGGAAGGUGGCCUUGCGGUGGACUGGGCUGAGAGGGAGAGAGGGACCUCUGAGAGCAGCCCUGGAACCAGAGCAACUGAGUGUGGGGUUAUGAGGUCUCAGGCUUGAGGAUACCCAUAAAGGGCCCUUCUAGCCUCAGGAGUGAAUCCAGGCUCCCCAACUCUCUGCCUAAGAGCCCCCAUUCAUUCACUCAUUUAGUUAUUUGUCAAUCACUUAUGGAGCACUUAUACUCUGUGCCUGGCCCUGGGCUGGUACCACUUGAUAUUCUUUCCAGCAACCUGGUGGGUGUUGAGUUCGGUGUUGGGGGGAGAAACAUGGGAAGGAGUGGCCACUGCCUGCUGAGGCCAGACCUGCAGGUCCAGGGGGCUGCCCUGGCUGGGAAAAUGCUGGCUUUGGAGCCACACAGACCUGGCUCCACCACUUCUAGCUCCUGACUCUGAGGCACGUGUCUCAAUAUCCUUUGGAAAAUAAACAUCAACGUUUAUCACUAAGAUUGUUAAAUAACAGUCCCAGAGGGGAAAGGUGGGGGCAGAGGGAUAAAUUUGGAGUUUGGGAUUAACUACUAUAUAUAAAAUGGAUAACCGACAAGGACCUAUUGUAUAGCACAGGGAACUCUACUCAAUAUUCUGUAAUAACCUUAUGGGAAAAGAAUCUGAAAGAGAAUGGAUAUAUGUAUAUGUAUAAAUGAAUCACUUUGCUGUACACCUGAAACGAACAGAACACUGUAAAUCAGCUAUACUCCAAUAU